rnacentral:rRNA from 1 species
AAGUAUUAAAGGCCCAGCCUGCCCAGUGAACUAGUUUUUAACGGCCGCGGUAUCCUAACCGUGCAAAGGUAGCGUAAUCACUUGUUUCCUAAUUAGAGACCAGUAUGAACGGCCACAUGAGGACCAAACUGUCUCAUACAACAAGUCAAUGAAACUGAGCCCUCAGUUAAAACGCUGAGAUAAGCCCAUAAGACGAGAAGACCCCGCGGAGCUUUAACCACCCUGCUACCAAACACACAAACCCUAACACCAGUACCCAGACAUAGCAGGCUGCUUUGAGUUGGGGCAACUAUGGAGCAAAACAAAACCUCCACGAACUAGGACUUUCCCCCCAUUACAGGCCCACAAGCCAAAAAUACUAACAUUUUGACCCAGUAAUACUGACCAUCGAACCAAGUUACCCCGGGGAUAACAGCGCUAUCCCCUCCAAGAGUCCACAUCACCGAGGGGGUUUACGACCUCGAUGUUGGAUCAGGGCCCCCAGGCGGUGCAGCCGCUGCCAAAGGUUCGUUUGUUCAAC